CCGCGGUAAUACGAAGGGACCUAGCGUAAUUCGGAAUUACUGGGCGUAAAGCGCGCGUAGGCGGUUAUGUAAGUUAAUUGUGAAAGCCCAAAGCUCAACUUUGGAAUUGCAAUUAAAACUACUUAGCUAGAGUUUAUCAGAGGAAAGCGGAAUACAUAGUGUAGAGGUGAAAUUCGUAGAUAUUAUGUAGAACACCAGUUGCGAAGGCGGCUUUCUGGAUCAUUACUGACGCUGAGGUGCGAAAGUAUGGGUAGCGAAGAGGAUUAGAUACCCUCGUAGUCCAUACUGUAAACGAUGAUUGUUAGAUGUUGGAAAUUUAUUUUCAGUAUCACAGCUAACGCGUUAAACAAUCCGCCUGGGGAGUACGACCGCAAGGUUAAAACUCAAAUGAAUUGACGGGGACCCGCACAAGCGGUGGAGCAUGUGGUUUAAUUCGAAGCUACGCGCAGAACCUUACCAACACUUGACAUGUCUGUCGCGGAAUCCAGAGAUGGAUUCUUUCGGUUCGGCCGGACAGAACACAGGUGCUGCAUGGCUGUCGUCAGCUCGUGUCGUGAGAUGUUGGGUUAAGUCCCGCAACGAGCGCAACCCCUACUUCUAGUUGCCAUCAGGUUAAGCUGGGCACUCUAGUAGGACUGCCUGUGAUAAGCAGGAGGAAGGUUGGGAUGACGUCAAGUCCUCAUGGCCCUUACGUGUUGGGCUACACACGUGCUACAAUGGCAGUGACAAUGAGAUGCUAAACGGCAACGUUAAGCUAAACUCAAAAACCUGCCUCAGUUCGGAUUGCACUCUGCAACUCGAGUGCAUGAAGCUG
rnacentral:rRNA from 1 species